CAGCCGCCGCGGUAAUACGAAGGGGGCUAGCGUUGCUCGGAAUUACUGGGCGUAAAGGGAGCGUAGGCGGACAUUUAAGUCAGGGGUGAAAUCCCAGAGCUCAACUCUGGAACUGCCUUUGAUACUGGGUGUCUUGAGUGUGAUAGAGGUAUGUGGAACUCCGAGUGUAGAGGUGAAAUUCGUAGAUAUUCGGAAGAACACCAGUGGCGAAGGCGACAUACUAGAUCAUUACUGACGCUGAGGCUCGAAAGCGUGGGGAGCAAACAGGAUUAGAUACCCCAGUAGUCCCUGUCUCUUAUAC
rnacentral:rRNA from 1 species